GUGGGUCGCCCUUCUUAUGCUGAGAGGGGCCGGUCACGCCGUGACACCUUCUGUGGCUACUGCUCUUGGCCAGGUCAUCCAGAGUCUGAUUGCCGUGAGAAGAAGCGAGACCAGAGGCGCUCCUCUUCCAGUGGGACUCCUGGAUCUUCCUCGACACCGUCACUCAUUGACCAGGACAUUGUGAGGCUCAAGCGUCUCUUGGCUUCCUCAGGCUCUUCAAUGACCGUUUCCGCUGCUGCGGUGAUUGCAUCCACUUCUCCACCACCGCAGGCAUCUACACAGUCAGGUACAUCUUUGUGGGUUCUGGAUUCUGGAGCCUCAUUUCAUAUGUCUUCUGAUUCUUCCGUGUUGUCUUCUCUCCAACCUCUUGAUUCGCCUGUUAAUGUUCUUACCGCUGAUGGUACACCUCUUCCUAUUGCUAGUCGUGGUCUUCUUUCCACUCCGUCUUUCUCUGUUCCUAGUGUUUCACAUGUUCCUUGUCUUACCAUGAAUCUUUUUUCCGCUGCCCAACUUACUGAUUCUGGUUGUCGUGCCAUUCUUGAUACCGACUCUUGCUCCAUUCAGGAUCGUCGCACCAAGGCUUUGGUUGGUGCUGGCCCCCGGUGCCGUGAGUCAGAGGGCCUUUGA
rnacentral:rRNA from 1 species